rnacentral:piRNA from 1 species
UCCUGACUCUGUUGGCCUUAGAGCCUGAGC